rnacentral:sRNA from 1 species
AUUGAAUUGAAUAUAGGGUAAUAUUAGUAGAUAACCAAAUAAAACAUACAAAUUAAGAAACUAGCAGAGAGAAAGUUUUUUGUUACAAAAUAACCAUGGACCCACGUUGUCGGAAAAAAGGAAAUAACAAAGCUACCCUUCAUUUGUUGUAAGAUGAACAGUAAACGAAACACAUCCGUGUAAUUUUUCAAAAUAGCAUGUAACAUUAAAAUUUCACAUGUUAUAUUUAGUUUAAAAACAUGCUAUUUCAAAAAACGUUAUGAAUUUUUAAGAAAAAACAUUAUUAUGAAAUUCUUUUACAUGAACAGAAUCUUAAAAAAU